GGGCGAGAGGGAGAAGUGAGAAUGGCCAGGACGGGUAAGAGUUGUUGUGCCUUCAAGGUAACUCUCUUGCCACUUUUAAAUGUGAUAUUUCUACGCGGUGUACGUGUUGCUUAGCUUGUUACUCUUGACAUCUGUUUUCUUUCGUUUGUUGUUUGAAAGUUAUUCUCUUGUCGUGUCUCUUUUAUUCACCGGUACGAGUAUUCCCCUUUCGUUUUCUUCAAGCUUGUACGCAUUGCUUUUCAACUUCACAAGCUUCUGCUUUUAUUCGCUUCCCUACAGGAACACAGAGAGAGUCGCUUAAAGGAAAAGUAAGAAAGAUUCAUACAAAAGGGCACUAUUGAAUACCCAACGUUUCGUCCCUGCUAUCUAUUCUUUUGUCUUUUCUUAUCUUCUGCCUUGCGAAGUGAAAGUGCAGGAAGUGUGUACAGAGAGAGACUGUGUACAAAUAUUAGGAUAUUUGAAAUUAAACUGAAUAAAGCUGCAUCUUUCUUAAUGUACCUCCUUGUUUCCUUAUCAUGUACUCAUUCUUAUUUUGUCUUGCUUAAAUCUGUCGAGUAAACUGUCAGCCUCCAGCGGAGAUACUAAACUUGCUAUAUUGGUGUGUUUUUGGUAGGGAAACAGGUUUUUCAGGCCUCCUGACUUUAGAUGAAGGAAGAUAAAUAAACAGGACAGGUUUCAGCCGUGAAGACUCCGACGCCAACAACGAUAAAAGAGUCUAAAGAAUGUUUCAUGACCCUCAAAUCUCGUGAACCUCAGCAGGUGGGUGGUUAACGGAACCCAUAAUGCAGCUGACUGGUUCAUUAACAGCUGGAUGUGGAUUCCGUUUCCCGCCUUUCCCGCAAUAAGGUGACGUUUCUACAGUCUCAAUUCUACAUUCUCUGUGUUUGAAAGUAGCUGAGAUGAGAAACUGGGUUCAAAUGGCUUUAAAGGAAGCAUCAAUACGUGUUCUGUGAGGAAAAAUUGUAUUACAGUAUGUUUGAUACAGAUUAUAAUAGACUUAAUAAUGAAAUUAGUGCUUUGUUUUUUUUUUAUGUUUUAGUUUAGUUGAGUAUUGCACAGCAUAAAAAAAAAGAUCAAUUACUGUACCUUUAAGUCGAUUUGGUGCUGUUCAUUCAUUUCACACUUUUAAGGGGAGAAAUUGUAUUGAUGUCGCUGCAGAAUGACACGUUUUCUCCCGGAUUGCCAGAUAUACUAACCGCCACCGGGAACUUCGUGUCAGCCAGCAGUGACAUCCAAAUCUGUCAAUCAAACCUCCACGAGCCGGAUUAUCAAAAUCACUCUCUGGGCGUUUUUUCAACUCAAGUCGAGUCUAAAAAAAACCCCAGAAUAAUCAAAUGUCUGAAUUAUUAUAGUUAUGUUGUUCAAUAAACAAUGUAGAACCAAUGUAAAGUAUCUCCCUUUGUCUUUUAUGCCUCACUCACACACACAC
ensembl:lncRNA